AUGUAUAGAAAUUCUAGUCACUUCAAGGUGGGUCACCAGCAGCUGUACUGGAGCCACCCGUGAAAAUUCGGCCAGGUUUCUUGCUCUUGUCAUGUCUGUUCAAACCAGCAGGGUCUGAUCCGGAAAUAUGGCCUCAAUAUGUGCCACCAGAGUUUCCACCAGUACUCAAAGGAUAUUGGUUUCAUUAAGCUGGACUAAAUGAUCUUCCUUCAAAGGACUAUCCAAGGCAUCUACCAUGAAAAACCAUAAUA